rnacentral:tRNA from 1 species
GCGGGAUUAGUUGAGCGGUUCAACAUCAGCUUUCCAAGCUGAGAAGACGGGUCCGACUCCCGUAUCCCGCUC